UGGGGAAUAUUGCACAAUGGGCGCAAGCCUGAUGCAGCCAUGCCGCGAGUGUGAAGAAGGUCUUCGGGUUGUAAAGCACUUUCAGCGGGGAGGAAGGCGAUAAGGUUAAUAACCUUGUCGAUUGACGUUACCCGCAGAAGAAGCACCGGCUAACUCCGUGCCAGCAGCCGCGGUAAUACGGAGGGUGCAAGCGUUAAUCGGAAUUACUGGGCGUAAAGCGCACGCAGGCGGUCUGUCAAGUCGGAUGUGAAAUCCCCGGGCUCAACCUGGGAACUGCAUUCGAAACUGGCAGGCUAGAGUCUUGUAGAGGUGGGUAGACUUCCAGGUGUAGCGGUGAAUUGCGUAGAGAUCUGGAUGAAGACCGGUGGCGAAGGCGGCCUCCUGAACAAAGACUGACGCUCAGGUGCGAAAGCGUGGGGAGCAAACAGG
rnacentral:rRNA from 1 species